ensembl:lncRNA
CCUCACAGGCUUUAUAUUGUGUUUUGCGGGAAAUGCUUCAUAAUAAUGUUCUACGUUUAUGACUGCAACUGGCACGUGUGGAGACCAGUAUUCAUUUGUGGAGUAUGGAAAGGACCUUAUACUUACACAUAUGAAUAUAAUGGUACAAAUCAAAUUGAAUUUAUUCAUGUUUCCGAAAAAGCUCUGGUAGCAAUCAAUGUCAACUUGGAUGAAACAAGCAAGAAGAUGCAACAGAUUCUACUAUUCGGCAAAGAAAAUGAAGUUGAUGAGGAAUACUUAGAGAUAUUCAAGAAGGAGGCUCUAAGUCGGAAGAUUUCAGAAGAAAACAUUAAGGAUUUAACCGAACCUGAUAAAUGUCUUGCUGUGGCAUGAAAAUAACUUCGAAACACCCUAAUUAGAGAGUCACUGAGACCAGACACAUCCUCUUCCCCAUGGAAUCAAGAGCAACAACAUGAAGAUGACUUUCCUGGUUCCUGAUUAUCAUGAUCCUUCUCUCUUCACACUCACACUCCUUUCCCAUCUCAUCUCUCCUGGCACUAAUCCCAUGCUUUGUGGUGGUAUUUGAUUUCUGCAGGUUUAAAUAAAUUGGUUGAAU